rnacentral:rRNA from 1 species
GCCUAACACAUGCAAGUCGAACGGUAACAGGAAACAGCUUGCUGUUUCGCUGACGAGUGGCGGACGGGUGAGUAAUGUCUGGGAAACUGCCUGAUGGAGGGGGAUAACUACUGGAAACGGUAGCUAAUACCGCAUAACGUCGCAAGACCAAAGAGGGGGACCUUCGGGCCUCUUGCCAUCGGAUGUGCCCAGAUGGGAUUAGCUAGUAGGUGGGGUAACGGCUCACCUAGGCGACGAUCCCUAGCUGGUCUGAGAGGAUGACCAGCCACACUGGAACUGAGACACGGUCCAGACUCCUACGGGAGGCAGCAGUGGGGAAUAUUGCACAAUGGGCGCAAGCCUGAUGCAGCCAUGCCGCGUGUAUGAAGAAGGCCUUCGGGUUGUAAAGUACUUUCAGCGGGGAGGAAGGGAGUAAAGUUAAUACCUUUGCUCAUUGACGUUACCCGCAGAAGAAGCACCGGCUAACUCCGUGCCAGCAGCCGCGGUAAUACGGAGGGUGCAAGCGUUAAUCGGAAUUACUGGGCGUAAAGCGCACGCAGGCGGUUUGUUAAGUCAGAUGUGAAAUCCCCGGGCUCAACCUGGGAACUGCAUCUGAUACUGGCAAGCUUGAGUCUCGUAGAGGGGGGUAGAAUUCCAGGUGUAGCGGUGAAAUGCGUAGAGAUCUGGAGGAAUACCGGUGGCGAAGGCGGCCCCCUGGACGAAGACUGACGCUCAGGUGCGAAAGCGUGGGGAGCAAACAGG